rnacentral:rRNA from 1 species
GAUGAACGCUGGCGGCGUGCUUAACACAUGCAAGUCGAACGGUGAAGCCAAGCUUGCUUGGUGGUUCAGUGGCGAACGGGCGAGUAACACGUGAGCAACCUGCCCUGUACUCUGGGAUAAGCGCUGGAAACGGCGUCCAAUACCGGAUAUGAGCUUCUUCCGCAUGGUGGGGGCUGGAAAGAUUUUGUGGUCUUGGAUGGGCUCGCGGCCUAUCAGCUUGUUGGUGGGGGAGUGGCUCACCAAGGCGUCGACGGGUAGCCGGCCUGAGAGGGUGACCGGCCACACUAGGACUGAGAGAGGGAGCAGACUGCAACGGGAGGCAGCGGUGGGGAAUAUUACACAGUGAGAGCAAGCCUGAUGCAGCAGCGCCGCGGGAGGGAAGACGGCCUUCGGGUUGUAAACCGCUUUUGGCAGAGAAGAAGCGAAAGUGACGGUACCUGAAGAAAAAGCGCCGGCUAACUACGUG